GGUGAGGUAGCUCAGUUGGUAGAGCAAAGGACUGAAAAUCCUUGUGUCGGGGGUUCGAAACCCUCUCUCACCA
rnacentral:tRNA from 1 species